GAGUUUGAUCCUGGCUCAGGAUGAACGCUGGCGGCGUGCCUAACACAUGCAAGUCGAGCGAGAAAUUAUUCAUGAACCUUCGGGUGAUUAGAAUGAUGGAGAGCGGCGGACGAGUGAGUAACGCGUGGGUAACCUGCCUCAUACAACGGGAUAACGCAUAGAAAUGUGUGCUAAUACCGUAUAAGACCACAGCACCGCAUGGUGCAGUAGUAAAAACUCCGGUGGUAUGAGAUGGACCCGCGUCUGAUUAGCUAGUAGGUAGUGUAAUGGACUACCUAGGCGACGAUCAGUAGCCGGCCUGAGAGGGUGAACGGCCACGUUGGAACUGAGACACGGUCCAAACUCCUACGGGAGGCAGCAGUGGGGAAUAUUGCACAAUGGGCGAAAGCCUGAUGCAGCAACGCCGCGUGAAGGAAGAAGGUUUUCGGAUCGUAAACUUCUAUCAGCAAGGAAGAUAAUGACGGUACUUGACUAAGAAGCCCCGGCUAACUACGUGCCAGCAGCCGCGGUAAUACGUAGGGGGCAAGCGUUAUCCGGAAUUACUGGGUGUAAAGGGUGCGUAGACGGUAAUAUAAGUCAGAUGUGAAAGCCCGAGGCUCAACCUCGGGACUGCAUUUGAAACUAUAUAACUAGAGUACAGGAGAGGAAAGUGGAAUUCCUAGUGUAGCGGUGAAAUGCGUAGAUAUUAGGAGGAACACCAGUGGCGAANGCGACUUUCUGGACUGUAACUGACGUUGAGGCACGAAAGCGUGGGGAGCGAACAGGAUUAGAUACCCUGG
rnacentral:rRNA from 1 species